GCAAUUGAUACAGCGGAGUGUUGGAGAUGGCUGAUGGCGUACUUGCCCGCCGGGAGUCCGGCGGUUGGCAUACCGCUCCAAGAUGUUCUUUGGUUUUGCCGUAUAAAAUAAAUAAGCUGUGGCCGAUCAUCACCCAGCUAAAAGAAGGGCGGUAUGAUUUGAGAUAUGAAGUCACAGCUGGCGGCAAUUGACACAGCGGAGUGUUGGAGAUGGCUGAUGGCGUACUUGCCCGCCGGGAGUCCGGCGGUUGGCAUACCGCUCCAAGAUGUUCUUUGGUUUUGCUGUAUAAAAUAAAUAAGCUGUGGCCGAUCAUCACCCAGCUAAAAGGUUA